rnacentral:rRNA from 1 species
UGCUUCAUACAUGCAAGUACGAACGAGAAAUCAAUUCGGUUGGUGAAAGUGGCGGACGGGUGAGUAAUGUGUAGAGAAUCUGCCCUUUAGCGGGGACAACAGUUGGAAACGACUGCUAAUACCCCAUAUGCGCGUAGUUGCAAUACUAUUCGUGAAAACUCCGGUGCUAAAGGAUGAGUCUGCAUCUGAUUAGUUAGUUGGCGGUGUAAUGGACCACCAAGGCGACGAUCAGUAGCUGGUUUGAGAGGAUGAUCGGCCACAAUGGGACUGAGACACGGCCCAUACUCCUACGGGAGGCAGCAGUAGGGAAUUUUGCGCAAUGGGCGAAAGCCUGACGCAGCAAACCGCCGCGUGAUUGAAUAAGCCCUUCGGGGUGUAAAGAUCUGUCAGUGGGGACGAAGCUUGACGGUACCCACAGAGGAAGCAUCGGCUAACUCCGUGCCAGCAGCUGC